rnacentral:rRNA from 1 species
GACGAACGCUGGCGGCGUGCCUAACACAUGCAAGUCGAACGGAACUGUUUUGAAAGAUUUCUUCGGAAUGAAUUUGAUUUAGUUUAGUGGCGGACGGGUGAGUAACGCGUGAGUAACCUGCCUUCAAGAGGGGGAUAACAUUCUGAAAAGAAUGCUAAUACCGCAUGACAUAUCGGAAUCACAUGGUUCUGAUAUCAAAGAUUUUAUCGCUUGAAGAUGGACUCGCGUCCGAUUAGUUAGUUGGUGAGGUAACGGCUCACCAAGACCGCGAUCGGUAGCCGGACUGAGAGGUUGAACGGCCACAUUGGGACUGAGACACGGCCCAGACUCCUACGGGAGGCAGCAGUGGGGGAUAUUGCGCAAUGGGGGCAACCCUGACGCAGCAACGCCGCGUGAAGGAUGAAGGUUUUCGGAUUGUAAACUUCUUUUAUUAAGGACGAAAAAUGACGGUACUUAAUGAAUAAG